rnacentral:rRNA from 1 species
UACGGAGGAUGCAAGCGUUAUCCGGAUUUAUUGGGUUUAAAGGGUGCGUAGGCGGAAUAAUAAGUCAGUUGUGAAAGCCUGUAGCUUAACUAUAGAAUUGCCAUUGAUACUGUUAUUCUUGAGUACAGUUGAGGUAGGCGGAAUGUGUAAUGUAGCGGUGAAAUGCUUAGAUAUUACACAGAACACCGAUUGCGAAGGCAGCUUACUAAGCUGGUACUGACGCUGAGGCACGAAAGCGUGGGGAGCAAACAGG